GGAAAAAGAAAGAUAUUCGUUAAAUAUGUCAACUUAGAUUAUUUCUCGCAUGCUUCCGAUAACUAUGAUAUAACAUCGAUAAAAUGUACUGUUUUAUGAAGAUAGGGUAAAUUUAAGAAUGAACAAAAUGUGUCAAGUUAGGAGAAAGAACUUCAGCUAUGUGUCAAAUUGAAAGAGAGGAAUAACAUUUGACAUUUGAAGAGGAAUAAAUUGUUCUUUAAAUAUACAA